rnacentral:rRNA from 1 species
AUUGAACGCUGGCGGCAGGCCUAACACAUGCAAGUCAAGCGGAUGAGGGAAGCUUGCUUCCCGAUUUAGCGGCGGACGGGUGAGUAAUGCCUAGGAAUCUGCCUAUUAGUGGGGGAUAACGUUCCGAAAGGAACGCUAAUACCGCAUACGUCCUACGGGAGAAAGUGGGGGAUCUUCGGACCUUAGGCUAAUAGAUGAGCCUAGGUCGGAUUAGCUAGUUGGUGGGGUAACGGCUCACCAAGGCGACGAUCCGUAGCAGGUCUGAGAGGAUGAUCAGUCACACUGGAACUGAGACACGGUCCAGACUCCUACGGGAGGCAGCAGUGGGGAAUAUUGGACAAUGGGCGAAAGCCUGAUCCAGCCAUGCCGCGUGUGUGAAGAAGGUCUUCGGAUUGUAAAGCACUUUAAGUUGGGAGGAAGGGCAGUAAGCUAAUACCUUGCUGUUUUGACGUUACCGACAGAAUAAGCACCGGCUAACUCUGUGCCAGCCGCCGCAGUAAUAC